rnacentral:rRNA from 1 species
UACGUAGGGGGCUAGCGUUGUCCGGAAUCAUUGGGCGUAAAGAGCGUGUAGGCGGCCUGAUAAGUCGGUUGUGAAAGUCAAGGGCUCAACCCUUGAAUGCCGACCGAUACUGUCAGGCUAGAGUCCGGAAGAGGCGAGUGGAAUUCCUGGUGUAGCGGUGAAAUGCGCAGAUAUCAGGAGGAACACCGGUGGCGAAGGCGGCCCUCUGGACGGUGACUGACGCUGAGACGCGAAAGCGUGGGGAGCAAACAGG